UUUGGUGCAGCUGUUUUGAAUAAAACGUUUUCUUUGGAUACUAUUUGCUGCUGCAGUCGUGUCAGAUGAGCCUCAAUCUCUUUAUCAGACUGUAGGUCCUAAGCAGAAGACAAAAAAAGUCAUAAAAGGGGAUUACUUGCCAAUAGAAUCAGCAGACUCCCGGACAAGAGGAUCCUAUACAAACUGGUUCACCACAGAUGAAAAUAUAUCAUGGUCCCUUACAUCAGGACACGGGAGGAGGUCAAGAAGAACACCUCUAGUAUCACAUGCGAGGCAUCCAGCCACCAGGAUAACAGAGGUGGCCAUGGACCAGCCUGUGGUAUCUGCCACAUCCAAUGAAGCCUGAAAAGCUGACUCUGUUACCAGC